CAAAUAAUGAGAGCAGCAGAAAGGGAGCAGCAGGCCACGGAGGGAUGAAAAAUCAAAGGCAGAAAGAGGGACAGAGGCCCGUUCCUCUGGCCUUUCAGCAUGAGGAGUAUGUGGCAGAGGAGGCGGGAGGAGGAGGAGGAAGGACAACACCUCUGAGUGCUAUUCUGCCACUGUUAGUUCAGACCGAGCGCCCUCGUAAAGAGGCCGAGAGGCUGGGGGCCGUUUACGGUGCCAGCUUUUUUAGAAACAGAUGUUUUACUGGAUCAACCUGGCACUGUAGCAGCGAGGGGGGAGGACAGGUAAUAAAGACCGGAGCUGACAGACACAGAAAGAAGCUGAAAGGCACAGAGGAAGAAGAAAGGAAGAGGAAGAAAAGGCUGAAAUAAUGAGGCUGGCAAAGACAGAGAUGGAGGUCAUUCUCAGGAUUUUUUGUUUCUGCCAGACUCCGGAGAGAAAUUCUUUUUUAUUUGAUAAUUGUAGAAACUGGAGACACAAAACAACAGUACAUAGAUGCAGUAUUUAUGAAGUAACAGUACUGCAGAGCCAAAGAACAAACAAAGAGAGAAAGAAAAGGGCUGCGCUCUGUGCUCCUUUAUGUUUCAGACAUAAAAUAUAACCUGUGAUAAGACUUUAUGGAAGCCCGUCAUUUCAUGUCACAAUCAGCAGGUGAGCAGUGGAAACACCAUUGAGCUCGUUGUUGGACUCAAUCAUGUUGAGCAGCCCUCCGUGCUUUAGCCACAGCUAACAGAAUUAGCACGCAUAAAUGGGCCUGAUCACAGCCUGAGAGCUUUGGGACUAUUGGCAGUUUAAUUAAGUGUGUUGUAAUGUGAGGGACUCCACUUUAGCUUUUACCAUCUAGAUUUGAUCCAAAGUGACCAUUUUAACAGGAGAGGGUGGAGCCAAAGCCAUGUUUCUGGUUUAUUUACUAUGCUGAUCACGUUAAAAGUGAGUGAUGGAACAAAGGCGAUGGCAUCGUCCUUUCAAGGGUUUUUCACAAGUUCUCCGAUGUAGACCUCUGAUCUGUUAUCUGACAUAUUUUGAACUUUUUGGGUUUAGCUUGCAGUGAAACCGAGCUAACAGUAAGAAGACGUCUGAAGGCGUGGGUUCGCUGCAACAGCGUGGGUUUGCAGCGACGGCUGAAGGCGUGGGUUUGCAGCGACGGCUGAAGGCGUGGGUUUGCAGCGACGGCUGAAGGCGUGGGUUGGCAGCGACGCCGAGGAUCGUGGCUCAGUGAGACGAAGCGUGUCUUUGUCCUGUCUCCAUCCCGGAGCUCCCAGCUGGGCAGAUUCUUCCUUCCCACUGUCGCCAAGUGCUCGCUCAUAGAGGACUGUUGAUUGUUGGGUUUUCCUUACAAUAUAAAGUCUCUGAGGGGAGGUUUUCCACGAAGCCAAUACGUCGCUGUGGGUGCCGCAGGGUUUCCAUCUUGAUCAACGAUGCACGUCCAGGCCUGAGGCGAUAUGACAGGCGAUGGUUGCUCAUGCGGCAGAUGUGGCCAAACCAUUGCAGUCGUUGCUUCCUAAUCAGCUCUUCUGUUGAGGGCUGCUGGUGACAUUGACUACGUAGCACGCUGUUGCUGCGACGAUCGCAGAGGGACACUCGGAGAAUCUGAUGUAAACAGCGCAUUUGGAAGACCUCGAGCUUGUUGAGGUCGUGUUUGAGGAUGACCCAGGUCUCCGACUCAUAGAGAAGAAUGGGCAACACCAGUGUACGGUACAGGCAGAUUUUGGUGGUGAGGGUGACGUUUGUCUUCUUCCAGAUGCACCAUCGGAGGGAGGCGAAAGUCGCCGCUGCUUGACCAAUUCUUAAAUGUAUUUCCGCUGUUGAUGCCACUUUCUUUUCUUGCACCAGAGAGCCGAGGUAUUUGAACUUCGCACUUGUUUGAUUUGCACGCCUUCGAGAUGCAGGCGUGCAAAUCAAACGAUUUCACAAAUAACUAACUUAAGAUAAUCAAGCUUGUUUCUAAACGUGAGCUCAGAUAUAAAAAGAUCAGCAACAAAAGCCGUUAAAGGAGAAAUACUCGUGUCUGUGGUCACUUAGGAUUUAUGCAAGAUUUUCAAGGACACGGGAAAGUAACACAGAGAGGAGAGAAAAGUCUCCAGAUGUCUCACAGCGGUUGUAAAAUAUCACUCGAGCUCUAUUCUGGCUCUGAGAUCCAGUUUGAAAAGAGCCAACAAAGCUGAACUUGUCAGAGAAACGUCUCCAUCUAUCUUCAUCUCCUUCCUUUGUUGGCCUUUAGGGAGCGAACCAGAUUGUCUUUCUUUAUUUUUUCUCUUCUGAGAGUUUUUUAUCUUCACCUUUUGAUCUAAAUUCUUGUGGAUGUUAUGAAUGUUACUUUAGUUUUGUGCGUGACCUUCAUUUACAGGAGAAAUUCAAAAAUUAGAUGGAAAAAAAUCUGGGUUAGGUUUACUAAAGAUCAGCUUUUCAUUUGAUUCAAGCAGGUGGGAUUCAGGGGACAGAUUUCCAUCCCAUUAUUAAAGUUUGUUUUGUGUCGCAGAAGAUGUUUUAAUGUAGCUUUUGUAUUUGAUAAGAACCGAUGGUGGGAUUUAAACCUAUCAUGGGCCAUCGUAAGCCCUUUGGCUACAGUAAGCCUGGCUUCAUUCAUGUUUGUAUCAUAUGAGUUACCAGGAUGUUAAAGGACUUGAUUAUAGUCCUGUAGAUGAUUUUUGAAUUUAAGGAAGAAACGUAGUUUCACACAUAAUCUGAUUUUCAUUCCACUUAUUCAAACACAUCUGGAUUUCACAUAUUUCAUAAAUCUAAACAUGAAACUUUCUGAUUGAAAAUCAGAAAAUAUCAAACCAAAGCUGGAACGUAGGGAAUUGAAUUAAAGAUGUGGAAUUUAUAUUUAUCUCAUCAUUUCAA